UACAGAGGUGGCAAGCGUUGUUCGGAAUUACUGGGCGUAAAGGGCGCGUAGGCGGUCUUGUAAGUCCUGUGUGAAAUCCCUCGGCUCAACUGAGGAACUGCACGGGAAACUGCUUGGCUUGAGUUCGGGAGAGGGAAGCGGAAUUCCGGGUGUAGCGGUGAAAUGCGUAGAUAUCCGGAGGAACACCGGUGGCGAAGGCGGCUUCCUGGACCGACACUGACGCUGAGGCGCGAAAGCUAGGGGAGCAAACGGG
rnacentral:rRNA from 1 species